CAUUUUAGGGGAAGCUGAGCUUCCCUUGCAGAGUUAGAGCAAUCGCCUCUGCUCCCUGCCCAGCCUGGCUCCAUGUUUUCCUCCCCGGACCACUUGACCCUGCACCCAUCCUUCCCCCAUCUCCUUCGCUUUUUGAUUCUCUAACGUCAUUACCUUUGCUACCCAUAACAGGACUGCCUGGUGAACCUCGGCCUGGAGAAAAAGUGGAUUGGCCAGGAGAUCGUCCCUGAAAAGUGGUGCAAUUACCACAAUCAGACCUGCUGAAGAGGCCACAGCUGUCAUUAAAUCAACCCACUAGCUCAAUGAGAACAUAAUAUUCACAUUAAUGCAUUAGCAUUAGCUUCGUUGUCAAGUAUGAUGUCAGACCUAUUGUGUUGUAU